UAACACCAUGUUGUCUGGAUCACACAAGA
rnacentral:piRNA from 1 species